AGAGUUUGAUCCUGGCUCAGAACGAACGCUGGCGGCAGGCUUAACACAUGCAAGUCGAACGCUCCGCAAGGAGAGUGGCAGACGGGUGAGUAACGCGUGGGAACAUACCCCUCGGUUCGGAAUAACUCAGGGAAACUUGAGCUAAUACCGAAUACGGUCGAGAGGCGAAAGAUUUAUCGCCGAGGGAUUGGCCCGCGUCCGAUUAGCUAGUUGGUGAGGUAAUGGCUCACCAAGGCGACGAUCGGUAGCUGGUCUGAGAGGAUGAUCAGCCACAUUGGGACUGAGACACGGCCCAAACUCCUACGGGAGGCAGCAGUGGGGAAUAUUGGACAAUGGGCGAAAGCCUGAUCCAGCCAUGCCGCGUGAGUGAUGACGGCCUUAGGGUUGUAAAGCUCUUC
rnacentral:rRNA from 1 species